CUCGCAAGCGCUUCGCAGACUGGCCCUCUUGCCUCCCCCGGCCCGUGUCAGGCCGGGCGACUGGAGCGGCUAAUAGGAAACCCCGACCCGAGGCGCGGAGGCCAGGAGGGAGGGCAGAGGGGGUCAGAGGCCGGCCCUUCCCGGCCCCCGGCGCCCCCGGAGGUCAGGGAGAUAAGGAACAAUGACUCUCGCCCCCGGGAGGAGGAAGGAAGCCCCGCUGCCGCCGCCUUAUCUCCGCUCCUGUGCGUUCUCCCAGUUCCCAGAGCUGGUUCUCUAGAGAGGACUUGGAAGGCGGCUUUUGUGCUGACGGCCAGCCCCAUCAUCUGAAGAAGGUGAAUUUGGCGAAUGACAUGCAGGUUCUCCAAGACAGAGUAAUCACAGAAAAUCGUCAAAGGUACUCAAUAUCAGAUAUUGAUCUCUGUCUCUUUUUUUUUUUUUUUUUUAAUUAAUUGAGGUG
rnacentral:lncRNA from 1 species